GAGGGUACAGCUCAGUGGUAGAGUGCGUGCUUAGUGUGCACGAUGUCAUGGGUUGAAUCCUCAGUACCUCCA
rnacentral:tRNA from 1 species